rnacentral:misc_RNA from 1 species
CCCGCUCCUUUUUUUUGUUUGGUGCAGUCUCUGCCAAGAAAGCUGCGCCACGUGUUACUACAGUGCUGCAUUGUGUUUCGACGGCACCGGUGGCCUUCUUUUUUUUUAUUAUUCGUCAGUGCUGAAACUGGAAAGCAUACAAAGAGGCUACUGGCUGAUGCUGUCUGCUGAUACCCCAUCUUUAUUCUUUCUUUUUCGAUUGUUGCAUCCCUGAUGGUGGGAGACACCUCAGUAUGGUAUCCAGGGUUCAGCGCCCCCAUUCUGUGUGGAAGGAAGUCAAGCAGCCCCCUCCCCUUUCGAUCCCCUGCGAAGUGCCGAGCCACUUCUCGUGGUGAAAGGGCCAAGCACCUACGGCGAGGGGAAGUCAGUGCAAUUCAUCGCUACUGGCGCCGGCAGUCAGGUCCUGGAUGGCGUUGCGUUGGAGCGGCCCGCGGCAGCCAAUAUGCUCGGGCCAUUCAUGUGACAGGCGAGGUGGCAUCGUGAUUCCGACGCAUCCCACCCGGCCCUCACUGCCCACUGGUGCGGGGAGCCUGAGCCACGCCGAGGGUGAUGCACCAGGUGGCGACCGGCAUGAUUGGGGAGCGGCUCUGAGGCGACCCGCGGGGCGGCCUGGGUAGACUGUGAGGCAGCCGCCGUGCUUUGAUAACUGGGCCGGUGCGUUGCUGUAACACCUGUGUACACGGCUGCUCUGGACCACGCUGGUGGGGGCCUAUGCCAGGCUGGGGAUAGGGUGAACUUGAGCUCACUUUCCAUGGCAGAGAACGGACACGUUGAAAGGUGAAUAAAAAUGAAGUGCUCUGCGCCUUUUCUCCUGCUCCUGUUGAGUGUCUUGUGGUUUCAGUCUUGUCUCGACUUUAUUCGACUUACUUCAAUUGUUGUCUUUUUUAUUGCUUUGUGUGCGUAUUCUGAGUCUUUGUUUUCUUGCGUUCAGUGUCCUUUUCAUUGUACUUCGUAGUGUCUCUUCCUCUGCUUCUGGUGCCACACAUUGCGGGACUCAGAUAUGGGAUUGUUCGUAGGCUUGGUGUGUGUAUUCGUUAAUAUUUCCGUCUAUGCUCAGCUGCGGCGCGGUAGAGAAACCAUCCGCCCUGAUAUUUUCUUUCGUUUUCGGGUUUGUGAGUGCCCCCUCCCCUCUUGAUUCUGCAGCGGGUCUUCGCUGCCAACCUGCGGAACAUGCGCAGUCUCCAGGAUAUGCCACUACGAUGGCGCAUGCGCACGCCAGUAUGGGCAUCUUUGCCGCCUUUCAACUGCCGCUAAGAUUGUUUUGCUGUGUUCUUUCUUUGAUUUGCCUUGCGGUCGUCUUGCGACGCUUCUGUGUCCGCACCUCCGCUUCCCCAGCUGCUCCUUCUUUCCUGCCACAUACUUCAUGUUUUUGCUUUCACACUUAUGCACGCAUACGUGGUGCUUUUCGGUGAUGGAGCGCUACCCCCUACACAUGCUAGUUCGAUGGUUGGUGACAUGACGUCUUUUUGCUGCCUUUCUUUUUUUAUUUGUGUGUGUGUGUGUGUGCGUAUUCGUUAGUGUGUGUGGGUGUGUCGCCCUCUCUUUAUCCUACUUUGCCUCUCCAUAUACACGUACGCGAACCAGACGAAGACGCGCACUGUCUUCUUUUCGGUUUCACGUCUCUAGCACGCCGUUUUCUCUCCUGUACCUCCGCAUUUCUUUUGCAGUUUCUUCUGUAUCCUUUCCUUCUUUAGUUUUUGUUUCUCUCUCUCUCGUGCUUCCUUCUUUCCCUCUCGGUCCUGGUCCUGAUUGGCUUAUGCCUCAAACGGGUGGUUGGCGCGUAAAGCUACUCCGUUGCGUAAUUCCUCUUCACAUGUGUGUCACACGCACAAUCGGCGACAGCCCGCUUGGAAGG